rnacentral:rRNA from 1 species
UACGUAGGGUGCAAGCGUUGUCCGGAAUUAUUGGGCGUAAAGAGCUCGUAGGCGGUUUGUCGCGUCUGCUGUGAAAACCCGGGGCUCAACCUCGGGCCUGCAGUGGGUACGGGCAGACUAGAGUGCGGUAGGGGAGACUGGAAUUCCUGGUGUAGCGGUGAAAUGCGCAGAUAUCAGGAGGAACACCGAUGGCGAAGGCGGGUCUCUGGGCCGUAACUGACGCUGAGGAGCGAAAGCGUGGGGAGCGAACAGG